AGUAACGCGUGGGUAACCUGCCUCAUACAGGGGGAUAACAGUUAGAAAUGACUGCUAAUACCGCAUAAGCGCACGGUGUCGCAUGCACAGUGUGAAAAACUCCGGUGGUAUGAGAUGGACCCGCGUCUGAUUAGCUAGUUGGCGAGGUAACGGCCCACCAAGGCGACGAUCAGUAGCCGACCUGAGAGGGUGAUCGGCCACAUUGGGACUGAGACACGGCCCAA
rnacentral:rRNA from 1 species